AGGGCUGUGCACGGCCAUGUGCUGACCAUGCAGCCAGCUCUGAGCAAGGCCACGCUGCCCAGCCCUGCUGGACACUGGCAAUGCACUGGAGAACAAGACAAGACACUGACCGUGGGGGCCAGGCGGUCCUGAGGAUGAGUUAGCAGCCCUUGGUGGGGGAGAUGGAGGGCAGACUCUGAGAUAGACAGAGUCCCACUUUACUGCCUUCAGAAGAGUGCCAUGAUGUCACAGGACUCACAGCAACCUCUAGCUCUUGGGCUUCGGCGAUUCUCCUGCCUCAGCCUCCCGAGCAGCUGGGAUUACAGGCGCCUGCCAUAACACCCAGUUCAGCCGGGGCUGGGUUUGAACCUGCCACCCUCCAUAUAUGGGGCCGGCACCCUACUCACUGAGACACAGGCGCCACCCGACACUCAGCUACUUUUUAAAAACUUUUUAUACAGAUAGAGUCUUACUAUGUUACCCAGGCUGGUCUUGAACUCCUGGCCUCAAACCAAUCCUUCCACCUCAGGUUCUCAAACUACUGGUAUUAUAGGCAAGAGUCACCACACUCAGCAUAGGCCAAGAGAUUUUAAAUUCAGAGAAGCCUGGGCUCCAAUUCCAGCUUUACUAUUUUUUAGUUGUCAUAGAUAUAUGAUGUUUCAUGGCCUCAGUUUCCUCAUCUGUAAAAUGGGAACGUGGCACCAUGGCACUGGACCUCAAGGGCAUCGUGAAAUAUAAUGAGAUGAUCUAUGUGAAACACUUAGUGCUGUAGCUGUGACAUGUGGCCAGCUCUGAAUACACAACAAUUUUUUAUUUUGGAGACAGUCACACUAUGUCGCCCUGGGUAGAGUGCCGUGGCAUCACAGCUCACAGCAACCUCAAACUCUUGGGCUCAAGUGAUUCUCUUGCCUCAGCUUCCUGAGUAGCUGGGACUACAGGUGCCUGCCACAAUACCUGGCUAUUUAUUUAUUUAUUUUUUUUUGGUUGCAGUUGUCACUGUUAUUUAGCAGGCCCAGGCUGGGCUUGAACCGGCCAGCUUUGGUGUAUGUGGCUGGCGCCCUACUCACUGAGCUACAGGUGCCAAGACCACAGCAAUUAUUUUUAUUGCAAUUAUGAUCACAACAAGAUCCUAAUUGUUCCUUGGCGAGAUUCUUUCCAAUCUCAGCCUCCUACUCAUGUUGGUGUUUCUUUGCAGGUUGGUUGGACCGCGUUUAUAGUCAGUGUUUGAGGCUGACCCAGGAAUGCUCUGGAGGUGAAGAGACGGCAGAGCACAGUCCCCUUGCCUUCCCAAGACAGUCACCAGGUGGUGUUCAGAUGGAGGGAAGGAGAAGCCACUAGAAGCUGAAAAAGACGAGGAAAUAAAUCCCCCCAGAGCCUCCAGAGGGGAGUGCUGCCUUGCCUGUACCUUGAUUUGAGUCCAGAGACCUGUGACAGAUUUUCAUGCUACAGAACUAUAAGAUAAUAAAUCUAUAUU